GACGAACGCUGGCGGCGUGCCUAAUACAUGCAAGUCGAACGAGAGCGCCCGGUGCUUGCCCUGGUCAAUCUAGUGGCGCACGGGUGAGUAACACGUGGGUAACCUGCCCAUCAGAGGGGGAUAACAUCCGGAAACGGAUGCUAAAACCGCAUAGGUCUUCGAGCCCCAUGGCUUGAAGAGGAAAAGAGGCGCAAGCUUCUGCUGAUGGAUGGACCCGCGGUGCAUUAGCUAGUUGGUGAGGUAACGGCUCACCAAGGCCGUGAUGCAUAGCCGACCUGAGAGGGUGAUCGGCCACAUUGGGACUGAGACACGGCCCAAACUCCUACGGGAGGCAGCAGUAGGGAAUCUUCCGCAAUGGACGCAAGUCUGACGGAGCAACGCCGCGUGAGUGAAGAAGGUUUUCGGAUCGUAAAACUCUGUUGUUAGAGAAGAACAAGUGCUAGAGUAACUGUUAGCGCCUUGACGGUAUCUAACCAGAAAGCCACGGCUAACUACGUG
rnacentral:rRNA from 1 species